AUUGAACGCUGGCGGCAUGCUUUACGCAUGCAAGUCGAACGGUAACAGGCCUUCGGGUGCUGACGAGUGGCGAACGGGUGGGUAAUGCAUCGGAACGUACCCAGAGGUGGGGGAUAACGCAGCGAAAGCUGUGCUAAUACCGCAUGUGAUCUGAGGAUGAAAUCGGGGGACCGAGCAGCAAUGUUUGGCCUCGCGCCUUUGGAGCGGCCGAUGUCGGAUUAGCUAGUUGGUGGGGUAAAGGCCUACCAAGGCGCCGAUCCGUAGCUGGUGUGAGAGGACGGUAGGCCGCACUGGGACUGAGACACGGCCCAGACUCCUACGGGAGGCAGCAGUGGGGAAUUUGGGACAAUGGGCGCAAGCCUGGUCCAGCAAUGCCGCGUGCGGGAAGAAGGCCUUCGGGUUGUGAACAGCUUUUGGCAGGAACGAAACGGUGCCGGCUAAUACCGGGCGCUAAUGACGGUACCUGCAGAAUAAGCACCGGCUAACUACGUG
rnacentral:rRNA from 1 species